rnacentral:rRNA from 1 species
AUUGAACGCUGGCGGCAGGCCUAACACAUGCAAGUCGAACGAGUGGCGGACGGGUGAGUAAUGUCUGGGAACUGCCCGAUGGAGGGGGAUAACUAUUGGAAACGAUAGCUAAUACCGCAUACUGUGAGCUUGUCCUGCGUUGUAUUUGUUAGUUGGGUAGGUAAAGGCUCACCAAGGCGACGAUACAUAGCCGACCUGAGAGGGUGAUCGGCCACACUGGGACUGAGACACGGCCCAGACGCCUACGGGAGGCAGCAGUAGGGAAUCUUCGGCAAUGGACGGAAGUCUGACCGAGCAACGCCGCGUGAGUGAAGAAGGUUUUCGGAUCGGAAAGCUCUGUUGUUAGAGAAGCGGUAACUAACCAGAAAGGGACGGCUAACUACGUGCCAGCAGCCGCGGUAAUAC